UAAUGUCUGGGAAACUGCCUGAUGGAGGGGGGUAACUACUGGAAACGGUAGCUAAUACCGCAUAAUGUCGCAAGACCAAAGUGGGGGACCUUCGGGCCUCAUGCCAUCAGGUGUGCCCAGAUGGGAUUAGCUAGUAGGUGGGGUAAUGGCUCACCUAGGCGACGAUCCCUAGCUGGUCUGAGAGGAUGACCAGCCACACUGGAACUGAGACACGGUCCAG
rnacentral:rRNA from 1 species